CGUGUAGGCGGUCGGUCAAGUCCGGUGUGAAAGCCCGGGGCUCAGCUCCGGAAGUGCAUCGGAAACUAGCCGACUGGAGCGCGAUAGAGGAGGGUGGAAUUCCUGGUGUAGCGGUGAAAUGCGUAGAUAUCAGGAGGAACACCGGCGGCGAAGGCGGCCCUCUGGAUCGUUGCUGACGCUGAGACGCGAAAGCGUGGGGAGCAAACAGGAUUAGAUACCCUGGUAGUCCACGCUGUAAACUAUGGGUACUAGGUGUUCGGGGUGUUGACCCCCUGAGUGCCGACGCUAACGCAUUAAGUACCCCGCCUGGGACUACGGCCGCAAGGCUAAA
rnacentral:rRNA from 1 species